UAAGAAGGGGGCUAGCGUCGCUCGGAAUCACUGGGCGUAAAGCGCACGUAGGCGGAUCUUUAAGUCAGGGGUGAAAUCCUGGAGCUCAACUCCAGAACUGCCUUUGAUACUGAGGGUCUCGAGUCCGGGAGAGGUGAGUGGAACUGCGAGUGUAGAGGUGAAAUUCGUAGAUAUUCGCAAGAACACCAGUGGCGAAGGCGGCUCACUGGCCCGGUACUGACGCUGAGGUGCGAAAGCGUGGGGAGCAAACAGG
rnacentral:rRNA from 1 species